rnacentral:rRNA from 1 species
CCGCAUCACGCCCUCACGGGGGAAAGGGGGGGAUCGCAAGACCUCUCACUAUCGGAGCGGCCGAUAUCGGAUUAGCUAGUUGGUGGGGUAAAGGCUCACCAAGGCAACGAUCCGUAGCUGGUUUGAGAGGACGACCAGCCACACUGGGACUGAGACACGGCCCAGACUCCUACGGGAGGCAGCAGUGGGGAAUUUUGGACAAUGGGGGAAACCCUGAUCCAGCCAUCCCGCGUGUAUGAUGAAGGCCUUCGGGUUGUAAAGUACUUUUGGCAGAGAAGAAAAGGUAUCCCCUAAUACGGGAUACUGCUGACGGUAUCUGCAGAAUAAGCACCGGCUAACUACGUGCCAGCAGCCGCGGUAAUACGUAGGGUGCAAGCGUUAAUCGGAAUUACUGGGCGUAAAGCGUGUGUAGGCGGUUCGGAAAGAAAGAUGUGAAAUCCCAGGGCUCAACCUUGGAACUGCAUUUUUAACUGCCGAGCUAGAGUAUGUCAGAGGGGGGUAGAAUUCCACGUGUAGCAGUGAAAUGCGUAGAUAUGUGGAGGAAUACCGAUGGCGAAGGCAGCCCCCUGGGAUAAUACUGACGCUCAGACACGAAAGCGUGGGGGAGCAAACAGGAUUAGAUACCCUGGUAGUCCACGCCCUAAACGAUGUCAACUAGC